rnacentral:lncRNA from 1 species
CUGAGCCCGAGGGGUCGGGGACGCGCGCGGGGGGAGAGGGGCCAGAGUCCCUGGGCCUGGCUGGGAGCGGGGCGACUCUGAGAGGAAGGACCGCAGCGCCCCUUGGGGCUUCCCGAGGAGCCCAGGACUCCAAGGGCUCCAGCAUCACCCAGCUUGACUUCUGCUCACUCUCAGGCACCAACAUCAAGCCUGGUUUGGAGAUUCUCUUGUGUCUGCAGCUGGGAGAACAAGAAGAACAGCCCAUGUAUUUUCUUCUCCAGCAUCACUGUUUCUGUCAUGGUGUCAAUAAGUUAUUCUACCUCAUGCAGAAGUACAAUGCUCCUUCAUUAAGUGAGAUUAGAUUGAAGACUGGCAAGAGCAGAUGCAAGGAAAGGCUUGAUGAUACUCCCACCACUGAUCUGCUUUAA